CCUACGGGAGGCAGCAGUGGGGGAUAUUGCACAAUGGGGGGAACCCUGAUGCAGCGACGCCGCGUGGGUGAAGAAGCGCCUCGGCGCGUAAAGCCCUGUCAGCAGGGAAGAAAAUGACGGUACCUGAAGAAGAAGCUCCGGCGAAAUACGUGCCAGCAGCCGCGGUAAUACGGAGGGGGCAAGCGUUAUCCGGAUUUACUGGGUGUAAAGGGGGCGCAGAGGGCGAUGCAAGCCAGGAGUGAAAGCCCGGGGCGCAACCCCGGGACUGCUCUUGAAACUGGGUGGCUGGAGUGCAGGAGGGGCAGGCGGAAUUCCUGGUGUAGCGGUGAAAUGCGUAGAUAUCAGGAGGAACACCGAUGGCGAAGGCAGCCUGCUGCACUGCAACUGACGUUGAGGCCCGAAAGCGUGGGGAGCAAACAGGAUUAGAUACCCCAGUAGUC
rnacentral:rRNA from 1 species